rnacentral:rRNA from 1 species
UACGUAGGUGGCAAGCGUUACUCGGAAUCACUAGGCGUAAAGCGCAGGUAGGCGGUUCGGUAAGUCUUUUGUGAAAGCUCCCGGCUCAACUGGGAGAGGUCAAAGGAAACUACCGGGCUAGAGUGUGGUAGGGGAAACUGGAAUUCCUGGUGUAGCGGUGAAAUGCGUAGAUAUCAGGAGGAACACCUGUGGUGUAGACGGCUUUCUGGACCAUAGCUGACGCUGAGACACGAAAGCGUGGGUAGCAAACAGG